GAUCCUGGCUCAGGAUGAACGCUGGCGGCGUGCUUAACACAUGCAAGUCGAACGAGGGAUUUUGGAUGAGACUUCGGUGGAUUCCGGAAUACCGAGUGGCGGACGGGUGAGUAACGCGUGGGCAACCUACCCUGUACAGGGGGACAACAGCUGGAAACGGCUGCUAAUACCGCAUAAGCGCACGGUAUCGCAUGAUACAGUGUGAAAAACUCCGGUGGUACAGGAUGGGCCCGCGUUGGAUUAGGUAG
rnacentral:rRNA from 1 species